rnacentral:tRNA from 3 species
GCCAGCUUAGCUCAGUGGUAGAGCUACGGUUUUGUAAACCGUCGGUCGUCGGUUCAAAUCCGACAGCUGGCUCCA